GACGAACCGUGCGAACGUUAUUCGGAAUCACUGGGCUUAAAGCGCGUGUAGGCGGGCCGCCGCGUCGGCUGCUGAAAUCCCCCGGCCAUCCGGAACCGGGGACAGGCCGAUACGGGCGGCCUCGAGGGGGUAGGGGGGCCUGGAACGUUCCGGUGGAGCGGUGAAAUGCGUUGAGAUCGGAAGGAACGCCCGUGGCGAAAGCGAGGCCCUGGACCCUUACUGACGCUGAGACGCGAAAGCCAGGGGAGCGAACGGG
rnacentral:rRNA from 1 species